rnacentral:rRNA from 1 species
GUCCGCUAACGAGCGCAACCCUCGCUGUGUGUUACAAGUGUCACACGGAACUGCCGGUCAUAAACCGGAGGAAGGUGGGGAUGACGUCAAGUCAGCAUGGCCUUUAUAUCCUGGGCUACACACACGCUACAAUGGGAAGGGACAAUAGGUUGCGAGGCCGCGAGGCGGAGCCAAUCCAGCAAAACUUCCCUCAGUUCAGAUUGCAGGCUGCAACCCGCCUGCAUGAAGUUGGAGUUGCUAGUAAACGCAGGUCAGCCAUACUGCGUUGAAUACGUUCCCGGGCUU